ACAAUAUGGAUGAAGGAGAUGGCUUUAAGGAGU
rnacentral:sRNA from 1 species